CUUCUCCUUUAAAUCAAUAAUUGAAACUCGUUACCUUUGACAGUAAAUUUUGACAGCAUGCCACGGUGCCUCACAAUCACUGCUAUUCUGUGGAACAUCUUUAUAGAGAAAGCUCCUGCACAAAGUUAAGGAAAAGCCCAUUUUCAUCUUUAGCAUUAAACAGUCAAUUUACAGAAAAUCCAAGAACAGUUCAGCUAUGCCUUAUGAGAAGUAUGAGAUUAUCAGACUACGGUCACAAAGUUGCUUCUCUUCAGGGCAGAUUAUUUUUUGCAACUAAGCAGCUAGAAAGAUAUUUCAGGAAGAAAGUAUUGCUGAAGAUUUUAUCUGUUUGCAACUCAGAGCCAAUUUAUACAUCUUGGCUGGGUUUUAUGUUCACUGGAAAGCACAUACGAUCCAAUCCAGUCCUUACACAGGUCUUAGGCAGCCAACAUCCUUAGGAAAAAAAUGACACAUACACAAAGUCAUAAAUCUUGAAUAACUCUUUAAAUAAAAGGCAAGUAGAUUGUCUCACUGAGAAUGAAGUUAGACUGCAGUCACUUGCCAUUUCUGUUGAUUCUCCAUAAACAGAAAAGCAAAGUCAUUCAGCUUAUGAAGAGCGAUCUUACCUUCACAGAAGAAACGAGCUGAACAUUUUUAUGUGAUAAAAAAAGAAGCCAAUAUAAAUCGGAGCACCAUUAUGAUUUCAAUGUCAAAAAGACAAACAAGCUGACUUAAAGGGAAAAGUAGAGGACAACGUCCAAUAUUCGUUAAACUGAACAGGCCAAUGACGCGGUGGGUUCAGGCACUGACAUUUCUUACACUGAUAAAAAUAAUUCCAUGUAAGCUGAAUGCCAGAGACUUGAUUUACUUCAAAUGAAUACUUACAGCCUUCGAUACAGUUCAGUAAAGCACAGUGGCUACAAGGAACAUCCAUUUAUAAAUAUUCCUACUAAGAUAGGAAGCUGACAAAGGCACAGCAGUGAGCGAGUUCAGUAUUCUGCACAGAACCAAGUUUUGGCACUGGUGAACAAUGCUGAAAGGCACCGAAACUUAGAUGUGGCUUCAGUCAUCCAGAACCAGCCAAAAACAUCCUCAAACCAUAAAGGGGUUGCCUGUUGUGUCUCUCGCUGAUAGACAUACAGGUUAACACAAGAACAUCUGACAAACUAUAUUAAAAAUAAUCAAAAACCCAACAAAAAUGUUAAGUAAAACCUGCUUUAAAUCUGGAACCGAAGCAAACAACAGCCAAAAAAUAACCAACUAAACUCUCCAUAACCUGAUAAUACCACAGCCCAGUCACUAGCACUCAGUACGGACACUUUCAUUUCAGGUUAUUGGGUUUUACCUG
ensembl:lncRNA